rnacentral:lncRNA from 1 species
GAAAGGAUAGAAAACCUCCCUUUAAUAGUUUUGAUUCCAUUGUGGUUGGAGGAGAUAUUGCUCUUAGUUGCUUUUGUUNAAUUUCUUCCAUUUCUUCNUUGUCUUUUCUUUCCUUUUCUUUUAUUCUCUCUUCCUCUUUUCUUCUCUCUUCUUUUCUCUCUUCUUCCUCUCUUUUUCUUCUCUCUUCUUCUAUCUCUUCUUCCUCUCUUUUUCUUUU